CAGCCACUCGGGACGGUAGCGCGCCGCUCAAACUUGUUGCGAGACCAAUUUUCCGAAAAUCCCAAAUUCUCUGCGGUGCAUUGGCCAGAGUUCACCCAAAACACCCACACUCACCAAACUCGACCGCACACUUUCGUUUCGCGAUUGAUUGCCAGCUCUCCGGAGACCCAGAGCCGCAAAAAAGAAUCAAAUACCAAACCACAAACCGAUCGAGUUCUAAAAAUCGAAUAACAAAGUACAACGCCUUCAAAACGGCAGCCACCAUUUCCAGCGCAGGAUUAGGAGGCCUAGGAGGAGACGUCGCCGCCUACGCUGAUCUCCACCAGCACUCGCACGCGCACCAUCCGAAUCCGCACCCGCAUCCUCAUCCCCACAGCUUCGCCGCCGACGGCUUCAAGCUGCGUUCCGAGGAGCCGGUGCCGGGCUUCAGCUCGGCCUCCCCCUGGCCCACCCUGGAGCUGGGCAUGGAGUGGGGGCGGAAGCUGUACCCCAGUGCCGUUUCCGGUCCGCGAUCCGCCGGCGGCCUGAUGUUCGGUCUGCCGCCCACCGCCGCCGUUGACAUGAACCAGCCGCGCGGACCGAUGACCUCGCUGAAGGAGGAGCCGCUGGGCAGCCGGUGGGCCAUGCAGCCCGUCGUCGACCAGAGCAACUUGGGCAUCGGCCGCGCCCACUUCGAGAAGCAGCCGCCCAGCAAUUUGCGCAAGUCGAACUUCUUCCACUUCGUGAUCGCCUUGUACGAUCGGGCUGGCCAGCCCAUCGAGAUCGAGCGGACGGCCUUCAUCGGGUUCAUCGAGAAGGACUCGGAGUCGGAUGCCACCAAGACGAACAAUGGCAUCCAGUACAGGCUGCAGUUGCUCUACGCCAAUGGAGCUCGCCAGGAGCAGGACAUAUUCGUGCGCCUCAUCGAUUCGGUGACCAAGCAGGCCAUCAUAUAUGAGGGUCAGGACAAGAAUCCCGAAAUGUGUCGGGUGCUCCUAACGCACGAGGUGAUGUGCAGCCGCUGCUGUGAUAAGAAGAGCUGUGGUAACCGCAACGAGACGCCAUCGGACCCCGUCAUUAUUGAUCGCUUCUUCCUCAAGUUCUUCUUGAAGUGCAAUCAAAACUGCCUGAAAAACGCCGGCAACCCGCGGGAUAUGCGCCGAUUUCAGGUGGUAAUCUCCACGCAGGUGGCCGUGGAUGGACCACUUUUGGCCAUCUCCGACAACAUGUUCGUGCACAACAACUCCAAGCACGGGCGGAGGGCCAAGCGGCUGGACACCACGGAAGGUACAGGCAACACAUCCCUGUCCAUUUCCGGUCACCCCCUAGCGCCCGACAGUACCUACGAUGGUCUCUAUCCACCACUGCCCGUGGCCACGCCCUGCAUCAAGGCGAUCUCGCCCAGCGAGGGCUGGACAACCGGUGGCGCCACCGUGAUCAUCGUGGGCGACAACUUCUUCGACGGCCUGCAGGUGGUCUUCGGCACCAUGCUGGUCUGGAGCGAGCUGAUCACCUCGCAUGCGAUCCGAGUGCAGACCCCGCCCAGGCACAUUCCCGGCGUGGUGGAGGUGACGCUAUCCUACAAGAGCAAACAGUUCUGCAAGGGAUCGCCCGGUCGCUUCGUCUAUGUCUCAGCUCUCAACGAACCCACAAUCGACUACGGUUUCCAGCGCCUGCAGAAGCUCAUUCCCCGGCAUCCCGGCGAUCCCGAGAAGCUACAGAAGGAGAUAAUCCUCAAGCGAGCUGCCGACUUGGUCGAGGCCUUGUAUUCCAUGCCCAGCAGAUCCCCGGGCGGAUCGACGGGCUUCAACUCGUAUGCCGGUCAACUGGCGGUCAGUGUGCAGGACGGUUCCGGCCAGUGGACCGAGGACGACUACCAGCGGGCCCAGUCGAGCAGCGUGAGUCCGCGUGGCGGCUACUGCAGCAGCGCCUCCACGCCCCACAGCUCGGGGGGAUCCUACGGAACCACGGCGGCCAGUGCAGCAGUGGCGGCCACGGCAAAUGGCUACGCACCUGCCCCCAACAUGGGCACACUCUCCUCCUCGCCCGGCAGCGUCUUCAACUCCACGUCAAUGUCCGCCGUGUCGUCGACGUGGCAUCAGGCGUUCGUGCAGCACCACCACGCGGCGACGGCCCACCCGCACCACCACUACCCACAUCCCCACCAGCCAUGGCACAAUCCAGCCGUGUCAGCAGCCACGGCGGCGGCCGUUUAAGCGAUUCCCGGACUCUAAUUCCGAUGCCAGCCCGGAGGAGCUGAAUGGAGGAUGAGGAUGAUGACCCAGGAUGAGCCGGACUUUGGGCCAGAGUAACGACAUUUUGUUGAAAUUAAAUGCUUCACGCCCAACACCACCCACAAAUCCACACGAAAACGCACACACGGACACACCAGACACCAUCUAUCAAUCCGAAUCUGCAAGGACGCCCACAAAUUCCGGGCGGAUGGGUGGUCGGCUGUGUGAAUGGGUCUACGAAAGCAAAUCUGAGCGUUCAAAACACACUUCCACCAUCAACCAACACCACAGACUACACACGAUUAACGGGGUCAGCAGCCUGAGUUUCAAUCCCUUCGCCCUGCCCACCUGCAACACACAGGGCUAUAGCAGCCAACUGGUGACGUCAACCAAAUAAUAUUACUACUAAAUGAGGCUAUUGGCAGGCCCCACACCCCCUCUCGGAGUCGCAGAUACCACGCCAAUCACAAGAAGCUCGAAAGUGCAAUAAACAAAAGAAAAUGGUUCCAAAAUUCAAAAACCUAUUGAUAUAGUUGUACAUUUUUUGAUUGAAUCCCGUUUUUAAUUUAAUUUCAAUACGCCUCGGUAAUAGAUUUAUACGAAUACGCAUAGAAUACCAUAUCAAAAUAAUGGAAAUCAUAUGAAAAGGGCAGGCAUAUCAUGCAGGGGCUCAAGAUCCCACAAGUUUAUAGCGGGCUAAUAUAAUACUAACAUAGCUUGACUAAAACACACAUUUUGUAAAUACUUAUCCCAAUUAAAUAAAUAAAACCUAAUAAUAAUCGGAACUGUGAAUAGAGGAAAUUAUACCAAUUUAUAUACCCAUGAUGAUCAGUACUAAUACGAAUCAAGAUAUACCAAAACAGAUACAAUUUGAACGAACCUUUGGACAUAACUAAAUGCUUGUAUACGACACUUUCUUGGAUUAGUAUCGAAAAAAACAAAAUAAAGUCAUGAAAAUACACUCUGCCAAUUGAGAGAACCGAAAUCAAAAUGUUAUAUACCUACAUAGAUAUACAGCCACAUUUUAGGUGACAUUUGCAGCAUAUCUAAGCGUAAUAUUACAACAAAUUUAUACCAAACUUUUGGCAAACAUAUCGUGCACUUAGCUCUAACAUCCAUCUCACGCGAAUCGACACACAUCACGUACUCGAACGUAUUUGUAUACUGCCCAUCAUAUCCACAAUUCAUUUCGAUCGAGCCACUCCCCCUCAACACCAAAUCAUCAUAAGAUACAUUAAUAUACAUUUCGCUAUUCAAGUCAGAGGGUUUGAUAAACUACCGAUUUGUUGACUAGAAUCUAAGCUAUGCAAGCGAUAUCUGGGGGUGCAUAUACUAUAUAUAUAGGCUUAAGUUUAUUGUUUAUUGCUCGAUUUGUAGGAGUUUUACUGUAAUUUGUAUUCGUAUUGUAUGAUAAUGUAUGCUUGCACUCCUAGAUCUACAAAAAAACAAAAGAAACCGAUACGAUAGUGACGCAUAUCUGUAAGAACCGCAUAAACAGCAGAACUUAGCCGCAAAAUCGAAUUGUAAAUUACAAUACAAUAAUUUAUAACAACAAUCUAGCAACGCUCUCUGUUUUGUAAAUCUUAACAAGUUAUUUAAAUAAAAUUUAUUUAAAAUAAACGUAAUAC